GAUGCGGUGGCGCAGUGGCUAUGUGCGAUUGACUUGGGAUCAAAAGGUCCUGAGUUCAAGUCCUUGCCACAGCU